rnacentral:lncRNA from 1 species
UUUUUUUGAGACAGGGUCUCAUUCUGUCACCUAGACUGGAGUGCAAUGGCAUGAUGUCAGCUCACUGCCACCUCCACCUCCCAGGCUCAAGCAAUUCUCCUGCUUCAGCUUCCCAAAUAGCUGGGACAACAGGGUCUCCAUUAUUUGAGAACUGACACAUUCAAUCUAAAAAUAAUCUGAGUAAAACCAUCAUCUAGUCCCUUUCCUUUGAGACCCAUUUUUUUUUCCUCAUCCACAUCUUACCUAUAAGGGAGGAAGCAAAGUGAAGAACACAGAUUUCACAGAUGGGAUGCCUGGCUCAAAUUCCAGCUUGACCGCUGGUAGCUGUGUGACCCUCA